rnacentral:rRNA from 1 species
UACGGAGGGUGCAAGCGUUAAUCGGAAUUACUGGGCGUAAAGCGUGCGCAGGCGGUUUGUUAAGUCCGUUGUGAAAGCCCCGAGCUCAACUUGGGAAUUGCAGUGGAUACUGGCAGGCUGGAGUACGGUAGAGGAAGGUGGAAUUCCCGGUGUAGCAGUGAAAUGCGUAGAUAUCGGGAGGAACACCAGUGGCGAAGGCGGCCUUCUGGACCAGCACUGACGCUCAUGCACGAAAGCGUGGGGAGCAAACAGG